AAAAAGUUUAGUGUCAUCACCACCCGAAAUAAGCAUCGGAACACCUAAAUGUGCCCAUUUAUGGUAACUGGAAUCAAGGAGCUUUGACCUAGAUCGAGGUCUCUUUAAGUCCCGUUCAACUAUGGUAUCUUCGCGACUGAUGGGUACAGCAAUUGUCAAGGCCUUCACAUCAUGUGUGUGGGCCCUCACAUGACUAAUAUAAACCCAUUUCUUCAUGACUCCGGAGGUUACAUUUCCUUCGUUAGCCCCAGCAAAAUCCACAGAGAGCUUAUAAAGUACAACCUGACCAUCAGAGCCAGCAGAAAACACCCUAGUAUGGCUGGGAGAUGCUGCUAAAG
rnacentral:misc_RNA from 1 species